GAUGAACGCUGGCGGCGUGCCUAAUACAUGCAAGUCGAGCGAACAGACGAGGAGCUUGCUCCUCUGACGUUAGCGGCGGACGGGUGAGUAACACGUGGAUAACCUACCUAUAAGACUGGGAUAACUUCGGGAAACCGGAGCUAAUACCGGAUAAUAUAUUGAACCGCAUGGUUCAAUAGUGAAAGACGGUUUUGCUGUCACUUAUUGAUGGAUCCGCGCCGCAUUAGCUAGUUGGUAAGGUAACGGCUUACCAAGGCGACGAUGCGUAGCCGACCUGAGAGGGUGAUCGGCCACACUGGAACUGAGACACGGUCCAGACUCCUACGGGAGGCAGCAGUAGGGAAUCUUCCGCAAUGGGCGAAAGCCUGACGGAGCAACGCCGCGUGAGUGAUGAAGGUCUUCGGAUCGUAAAACUCUGUUAUUAGGGAAGAACAAAUGUGUAAGUAACUAUGCACGUCUUGACGGUACCUAAUCAGAAAGCCACGGCUAACUACGUG
rnacentral:rRNA from 1 species